UCCUUUAGGGCAAGUACGUGACUUACCUGAGCACUCACUAACACUAAAGUUGAAGCUUGAUAGGUAUGCAGGAUUUGUGACGAUUACCAGGAAGGAUGGGGGUGUUGGUUACAGACUACACACAGGUGACGUGAAUGACAAAGGGGCAGGACAGAAACAGAAAGCAGCAGAGACAGACUCAGGAAACCAUGACAAACGUUGUUUAAGACACAUAUAAGACCAAGAAAGAUCCACAUAGAGGGCAUGAAAAGUUGCGUUUGCUAUGCCUUGUUUUGUUUUGCUUUCAUAGAAGUUGCUUUCUCGCUUCAACUUCCAAAUGAGAACAUUUUAGAGUGGAAUUGAAAGUGAAAAUUAUAAUCGCUUUAUGUCAAGAAACCACUGCCAAACAAUAUGUCCAGCACAAGCAGGAUCACACCAGAUGCAGCUCAGGAUGGUGCUACUGGGCAGAGUUGGAGCUGGAAAGAGCAAAGUGGCCAGAUUCCUCCUGGGAGACAAGCAGCUGAAGGCUGAGAUAAGAUCAUGCGUUGUUUGUGA